GACGAACGCUGGCGGCGUGCUUAACACAUGCAAGUCGAACGGAAAGGCCCUGCUUUUGCUGGUUUCUCGUUUGGCGAACGGGUGAGUAACACGUGAGUAUCCUGCCCUUGUAUUUGUGAUAACUUCAGGAAACUGGGGCUAAUACCGGAUAUGAUCUCCUGCAGCAUGUUGGUCGUUGGAAAGUUUCGGCGUUUGUGGAUGGACUCGCUGCUUAUCAGCCUGUUUGUGGGGUAGUGGCUUUCCAAGGCUUUCACGGGUAGCCGGCCUGAGAGGGUGACCGGCCACAUUGGGACUGAGAUACGGCGCAGUCUCCUACGGGAGGCAGCAGUGGGGAAUAUUGCACAAUGGGCGGAAGCCUGAUGCAGAAACGCCGCGUGCGGGAUGACGGCCUUCGGGUUGUAAACCGCUUUCGCCUGUGACGAAGCGUGAGUGACGGUAAUGGGUAAAGAAGCACCGGCUAACUACGUG
rnacentral:rRNA from 1 species